ensembl:misc_RNA
CUGAAAGCACUGAAAACUUAAGUCUUCUCUUUUUCAAACAGGCAGAACAGAGAAAGCAGAGAGCAAAUUGUCCCAGGCUGUGCAGCCAGCAUGCUUGGCUGUGAUCCACAGGAAAACCUGGAAGGUGAAAGAGGAAUCCAGUCUGAACAGCUACUAAACGCCUUGCUUCC